GACACGGAAAGGAUUGAGAGAUUGAUAGCUCUUUCUCGAUUCUGUGGGUGGUGGUGCAUGGCCGUUCUUAGUCGGUGGAGCGAUUUGUCUGGUUAAUUCCAAUAACGAACGAGACUCUGGCAUGCUAACUAGUUAUUCGACCCCGAGCU